ensembl:lncRNA
CUAAGCUUUGCUAAAAAUCCUUAGUAAUUAAAGUACUUAGCACAGUAUACCAAGGCCAAGUUUUCAGAUCUGCUGAAAUCCCAAGAACUGAAAUAUCUUCUUGUUCAUCCUGCACAGUAUUGUUGUUAAUUUCAGAUUACCUUGGUGAGAUAUGUGACACCUCAAUUUUUGAAGCUUAUGAUCAACUUCUACUCCUGGUGCUGAAGUUUGCAUGUACACAGAGAAUGAAGUGCCUGCUUCUCCCUCCAGAGGCACAGAGCAGGUUGCACCUGGCUCUCAGUCAACAUUCCAGUGGAAUUGUCACCUUGGAUUGUGUUCCCAUGCACUUAUUACAGGGCAUUAAGGAAGGAGUGUCUGCAGUCUUCUAGAGCAAGCAAGCGGAAAGAGAAGCACAAGUUACGCAGAAGAAGAUGACCCCCAGAAGGAGUUGUAGAGACCAGUAAGGUCUCCCCUGAGCCUCCUCCUCUCCACACUGAACAAUCCCAGUUCCCUCAGCCGCUCCUCGUAAGACCUGUGCUCCAGACCCGUCACAGCUUUGUUGCCCUACUUUGGAUAUGUUUUAAGGGCGUUCAGAUGGAAACGACGCUGACGUCAAACACAGUGUUCCUGUCUGACCGACAGAUAUUUUUCUGAACUAAACAUUUGUGGGGGACUGUGGGUAAGCGGAAAAGAAGGCACUAAAAUCAUGCAAAGAAAAGAGGAGAGAAGCAG